AGCAGAGCUGGGUCUAGAACCCAGGAGUUCGAAUACAAUCCGAGGCUCAUAUCGAGACUUUAAGUUGUCCGAUUCCGAAGUUUAUUUGCUUUUUUCCCUCUUUUUGCCUUCCAUUCUCCCUCACCCCCGUUCUUUUAGGGGAAUGUUUGAGCGAGACUUCAAGGUCAAAAGAUGGAGUCCCUAGGGGCUGAGGGUCUCCAUCAUAGGCGCCCCAGGCAAGGUUGGAGAAAAACUAAACAGAAAGCCCCUUCCGCCUACGUUGGCAAGAACGGGAACCCAGCUCCACUUGGUUUCCGCCCAAAGUCUUUAGAACAGGAGCUGCCAAGCCGUAAGGAUUUCCGAAUCCGAUUUCCCCGAAACCGUAGAGACACAGCUUGGACUCGGCAAAGGCCGGGGCCCCGACCCCUGCGCGCGCACUGGCACUCUCCAAAGUUGCCUCGCCUUCCUGUGGCCCUCCCGGGAAUUAUAACCCCCGGGUGCCAUGUCCUAAUUGGUCUCGGUAGCAGGCUCCGGGGUGCGCUUUCGGGGGCUAGGGGACAGCGAAAGACUCAGCCACAAAGGCCGCAGUCUGGUCCUAAAACUAGCCAGUGGCGUCACACUGCGCCGCUCAUCCCUUCUGCGGCAAGCGGAAGGGUCAGAGUCGGUCUGCAAAGAACGAGCCUUUGGCCUCAAAAUCCUACAUUGAGGCUUUCUCACCCCUUCGCCCGGUGGGAUAAAGGUGAAAGAGACGGUUGGGAUUUAAUAAGGGGUAGGGAUGAGAAUCUGGGAAGUUAAAAUGAAGUAAGUGCAUUUAUUGGAAAUUAGGAGUCCCGUGGUUCCGGGAGCUCAAACCGAAUGGUGUUUUUACCGCUGCCUAACGCUAGAGAGAGCCCUCCAUCAAGGUUUGAAACCGUCAACCCCUUUCUCGCCCCUCCCCUCCUUCCCAUUGACCUAGUUUGGCCAGAGCCUCCCGAUUUGGAGAAUGCCUUCCGCCCUUCCCCCCUCCUCUCCAGCCAGAGAGGCUACAGAGGCUGUUGGAUUAUUGGUAAUCUAAUAACUCCAAUAACCCGCUGAAAAAUCCAAAGGGAAAUCUGAAAGUGUAAAGCACUGUUUAGGGACAAGGACAAGGAAUUUUAAUAAGGCUGCAACUGCCGUAGUGAACCCCGCAUCAGGGGCCCUGCCGUGGGGCUCCCGGUCUCAGCAGUGUUUCAGCCAACUAGCUGCACGGCUGCAGACACCACCGUGGUCCGGCGGCAGGGGGUGAGGUCAAAUCGCGGAGCUGUUUUUAUUCUUGGGGGAAAACACUCUUCGCCCUCUUGGCUGGGGAACGGGAGGGUGCAGGAGACGACAGUAAAUAAAAGCGAAUUUGAUAACGCGAUGGCCUCGACAGCCGCUUUGGAUAACCGAGGUGUUCGGGGACAUUGUGUCCUGACUUUCAUUUCUAUCACGUUUCCUGCCAACAGUGCUCUUGCAAGCCUGCAAGCUUCUAGGAAAUGCAAUAAAACAGAGGGAUGUGUUUUAUCAUCAAGAUCUGAAGAGGAGUUGCAGAAGGGACGUUCCCCAUACGCUCAGCGCGAGACAGCCUUCCAGAAGGGCCCGAAGACAAUGCCAGCAAAUCGCGUCCCGGAGCAGAGAUCCCUCGGCCGUCCUGGCUGGACUGGGCUCAGCCUUUGCAAAAAGGCUGGCGGGGGAGGGGAGAAGCAUGAUCUCCUCAAGCAAACAAUGCCUUUAAAAAUCCGAUCUGGAAAGAAGUCAGCCAAGGUCCUUAUUCACGUUAAUGAAGAUGGAAGGCACUAACUGUCCUUGGAAAGCGAUGAGUCAAACUUGACCGCGCUUCAAACUCGUUCCCAGAUUCGUUUCCAGUCCGAACAGAGGCGCGUUUCUCCGACGCGGCCUCCGACGGCUCCCGCAGUGGGAGGGGCCGAACUCGAUCCCCGCCGACCCGGGCGGGGGCGACGGCGCUGUCUCCCCCUGCAGAGCGCGCCUGCUGCCGCUAGGGGCCGCCAGCAUGCGGACGCGCGUUUGCCAUCUUAAGUCACGAGCUCGGAGAAAGAAAACUUUACGGAGGAACUGUUGUGGCACAAAUUCUGGCCUAUCCACAUGACCCCCACCCCCUCACACACACACACCCGGUUUCUCGCCAGGCUACUAUGCAGAGGAUGUUAGGAAGGGGAAGAGAGCGAUUUCAGAAUCGAGGCUCGCCCUGCAAGUCUUUGGUCCAGGCCUUAACCCCCCUCUUAACACGCAAACCCCCGAGCUCCGAGACCCACACCCUUCAGCACCAUCUGGGCUUUUCGUGUCAUUACCGAAAAUCUUAGGCCAUAUUUUCUUUAAAAAAAAUCCUCCAAGACUGCUGGGGAGCGGUUUCCAAUGAACACUGGCAACAAAGGUGACCUAAGAGGUUAAACUCAUGGUUCUGGCAGCCGCUCCUUUCUCAUAAAUACUUCUAAGGAGCUGAGAUAAACCCGCCUUUGGCUUUCAGUCACUGACAUGAAAUUCAGAAGCUUAAAAUCUGGUCCUGGUUAAGUCACUAACUCACCACUAACAAGCCUCCUCGUCGGGCCUGUUUCCUCAACUGCAAAACAGAGUUGUACGUCCCAAAGCCCCUGAGCUCCUAGGUGGCAUCCUUCCACUACCGACUUCCCCUAAGAGGGGCCACAGGGACAGGAAGAUGGUGUGUUCGAAGCGGGUUAUUUGUGGUUUUUCUUAGUGCAAAUAGAUGCUCAUCGCUGAGUGAUGGGCAAGCAGCGAGGCCUUUCUGAUUUUCAUCCCUCUUGCCAAAACUUUGGAGGUUGUAUGCCAUCCCCAUUGGAGGGUGCCCUCCUUCUGUCAGUCCUAGCAUCUGGUCAGGGUACCGCCGCCCGGGAGGUGGAACGGCGAGCCCACCGCCCAUGGCCGCGAACUCGAUCUCAGCCCACCGCUAGGUGGCAGGCCAGCCCGUCCGAGAAUCGCCGCGCGGCCGCAGCUUCCACACCGAUCCCUACCCGCCCCUCUUUAUUUUCUGUCUGGUGGGGGCGAGGGUUGGGGGUGUGAUUGCCUCUAAAAGCAAAGCUAGAAAACAUUUAAUUUAGUGUAUGUAAUUCCGUUCCUCCCGAUGCUCCCGCCUCUAGCAACCACAACGCGGUAUCUGGAGCUGGUUUCAUGUAUCAUAAGUUGAUUUCUCCCCCAGCCUCCGAAAAGCUUUAUGUACUGGGAAGGGAAAGAAGGUGCACUUGUCUUCAAAAGGCAGAAUGGCACUCGACAGUAUUGGCAGAGAUUCUUGCCAAACACUGGUCAUCCAGCAAAGAAAGUCGGGAAUAAACUCCUGAUCUUCUCGGAGGAAAGGGGCGCUGGGGGCCGAGUGCUGGAUCCCACUCAGGCUCACUGCGCCUGGCAAAGCGGGGGAGUGGGGAGUCGGGUAUGGUCUUUUGGUGAAGUUGUGGGUCUCGGAGUGGACAUCGGGAGGGUUGGGAGGGGCCGUUCCUGGUUUCCACUGGGGCAAAGAGAAACCAGCCAGUUCUGCCACCACGCUGCACCCUCGCUGUGCUCGCGGCGGCAGCGGCGGUCCCACUUGUUGCGCAGUGCUGGAAACCGGCACGCGCCAUUCGAUGUUGAUUCACAGAGGGCUACAGACCAGCCUACCAUUGCUCCACGCCAUCCACAAACCUCCUCAACACACCCCCUACACAUACGUCCUGCCACCGCCGGCAAAACUACAGCAUUUCCAGCCACUAUGGUGUUUUACACCAAAACAUCCCUCACUAUCUCGGUAUCAGACAGGCAGCAGAAUUAAGAUGCCCUGAGAAGUCAAUCCAAGGGGAAGGCCGGGCUACCUCCGCCUGGAGAACUCUUCUACUUAAAAUCAACCAGGCACCCUCCCCCCACCAAAAAAAAAAACCUUAGAACCACGUUGCCUAUUAUAACACCAUCCUAGUUGGAAAGCAACAUUUUUCUUCCCUACUUGAUAAACUUCAAAGUCCUUUUUAUCCGUUAGUUUUAUCUCCCCUAUUUUUUUUAAAUCUCUGGGGGAAAAAUGUUUCAUAAGUUCACUUCCCAAUAUUUUUCAAAAAUUGACUUUUGCCAAUAGUUUCACCCACCGAGGGGUGGCGCUGCUGCACCGCCUCCUCUAUAUCUCUUAAGUUUUUCACAACAAAGUGGGUUGUGAGUGUCAUUACCCUGUAGGGGAUAGAGGGAAGGAAGGGUUUUGACAUCUAGCCGUGGCUACCAUUUACUCAACCAAUAACUGGAACUCUUCAAGGGCUCAGCAAACGACAACUUAAGCAUUUAGAGUCCCAUCCCUAUCCACCAAACCCAGAAUAAGUUAGUCUUUUCAAGAAAGCAUUGGUAUAAAACCCUUCAAAACUGAAAAGAAGAAAGGGGCAAUUGGAGAAUUCCCACUUUUUCUGGCUGUCUCCUUCAAGUCGCCCAGUUUUUAUGAACAGCAUCUAGCCUUACUGUCACUAUCAACAACCCUUAAAACUAGCCAAUGCUUCGGCCUCUAGUAUUGGAAAGUCUUCCAAAUAGGAUACUGGAAACUUCUAUUUAUAAGCUUGGGGUGGCGGGCGGGGCGGGGAGGUGGAGAGAGAGUUGCCAUCUACAGGUUUCUAUUUUGGCCUGAAGACUCAACUGCAGUCAUUAGAGUAAGGGAAUGCCCAUCUCCUGGUACUUGUUCGCCAUUUCCUCCUCCCCCAGAGACAAAUAUCUUUUCGUCUUUUUUAAAAAAGUAUAUAUUUUAAAGCAAGAAUGUGAUUUCAUCUCUCUUCUUUGAGCUCAUGUUUGCUACCUCCAGGAAUAGCGUGUGGACUAGGGCCAGAUGAACUUCAACUUGGGCUGCAGAUUUACGAGGUUCUGUUCUAGUGCCAAAGGCUCUUGGUAGUAAAUAGUGAGCAAAAUAGAUACCUGUCUCCUGAUGGAUCUUGCCGCCCCCUCUUUUUUUUUUUAAGUUAUUUAUUAAAACCACACACACCUUGCAAAGAAAAAGGGAAACUGGCAGUCUCUGUAGAGGAAGCCGGUGGCAUCGCUCAGAGCCACAAACUGUAUUUCUAAACAGCCCUUUCCCUGGUUCCCUCUCUCCUGCCCCACUUUUUUUAAAAUCCAGACUGUAAAAAACACAUCUACUGACACUCACUUUACUUUAAAAAAAGAAGAGAAAAAGUAAAGCGUUACAAGACUUUCCUCCUGGAAACUAUAAACUGAAAAAAAAAUCCAUAAAAGAUUAAAUCCUGGCGGGUUGUGGGGUGGCGGGGGCCGGCGGGGAGGGGGCGCGGAGUGGAGAUUGGCUCUCUGAGGUGGUCAGGGGCCCUGUGACAGCUUGGGACUUUCAGCACCUGGUUUGGGGUCAUUUAUCUGCUCAACUGUCAGGACCCCCCACCCCCAAACCCCAGCCACCAACACAACCAUCGUAGAAGGGAACACAACACAGAGGGUCUUUUUUCAUUUUUUUAAAAAAUCGGUUUGGUUGUGUUUUUGUUUUCCAUGGGGGAGCUUUAAAACUCAUUAUUGCAACACUAGUUCCAUUUUUCGCCAGGGUUCCAAUAACACGGCAUCAUAAAGGCAACGCAACCCACAGUUCUCAAGACAUUUACCACGGUCACUACAUCCGGCAGCGGGGUGGCCCCUAGCUCCUGCUGCCCCCCCGCCCUUUCUCCCCGCCCGCCCCCGGAGCUCAGCCGAUUUCUGAGGCUCCAACUCUACCCACUCCCUCCCCGGGCCGCCGCCGCCGCGCCUUCCCCCAUUCUUACUCCCUCGAGGAGAGCCACAGGUUGCAAAUCCAACCAACCUCGCAAUCUAUUUUUGCAAAAUCACUCACAAAGAUCUCCCUUUCGCGCCCGCGCCCGCUCCUCCCGCGCCGGGUCCCCUCAGCCACGGCCACAAAGUGCCCUUCUCUCCUCCUGAGUCUUGCACAUAAGGAACGCGGGCUGGGGCUCUGUUCGUCUUUCUCCUCGCCCAAGGUAAGGACCUCGGGAAUCUGAAGCCUGGCGUCCACUACGCUCAGGCCCGCAGUUCCCUUUUUACAGAGCUUGCACCAUGGGAAAAAAUAAAAUAAAAUUUAGGAAAGGGAGGCAACAGCCAUUGGGAGCCAACACAGAGUCACGCAGCGCCCAAAAUACAAACACCGCAGCGGCCAGAAAUCCCGCCACCUUUCUCGUUCUCCCAGGCUGUCCUGUCGAGGUUCCCUGAGUCCCCCCGCACACUGAAAGGCAUCGCAGGUGCAGUGCGCACCCCUUUCCCACCCACCCCAAGAAGCCCUGUCCCGCCAUCAGUCUCUCUCCUCGGGAUGAGCAGGGAGAGCGCGCGGAGGUUCCCGACUCCCUCGACUACAACCAAGAAAGAAUAAUUUUCAAAGUGUUCAACAUCCCCGCCCCCAAGCUCCCCAAAACACAGGGGCAGGGAACACCAAAACACUCGGCUCUCAUUAGGAAGAUCACGGCUCUGAAAGGAAAUAGUAGACACGAUACUUCAUCUCAUCUGGAUUUAUGACCAAAAAAACAAAAACAAAAACCCAAAGAGUUCGCUUGCAUUUUUUCCUUCCAAAUCUCGGUUCGGCUCGAAGGCAGGGAAUCUAAAAGACCGAGGCCGAUGGAAGAGAGCCAGCGGGGCGAGCGAGCGGGCAGCCUCCCUUUUUGCCUCCCGGAGUUACCCAGAAGGACAGGGGAAGGGAAGGAAGAAGAGGCGAGGAAAAAGAGGAGGGAGGGAAGCGGAGGCCAGGAGCGACGGAGCAAGGAAAGCAGUUUGCAAGCGAGAAAAGAGGGAAAAAACACAGCCGCACGAAUCCAGAGAGAUCACAAGCCGUACGCAAGCAGCAGCAGAAAGAGCGAGAGCGCGAGCGCGCGUCCUCUCCGCGGUCUGGGGCCAGACAGCCCCCAGACUAGCCCGAAUCACCCCCCAAGCACUGUCUCGUCCUCUCUGCUCCGGCCGCCCCCUAAUUCCCCUCCUUCCUCUCCUCCACCUCCUUUCCAAAAACCAAAACAACACAAGGGAGGGUGGCAAAAGCCUCCCCAAACCGGCCGAUUCACUCAAAGACAACAAUAAUAAUAAUAAAUACAUAACAAUCUAUAUCCUAUGGUGGGAGAGACGUGGGACUAAUCUUCGGCAUUUAUUUUAACACCUGACAGCUAGAAUAAAUAAAUAUAUACAUUUAUAUCAAUAGAUACACAUAGAAAACUUGGAGCCAAAGCAUUUGGCAAGAGCGGAAAAAAAAAGAAUUAAAAGGUAAAAUAAUGAUCAUGAGCAGCGGCGGCGGCAGCGGCACCAGCGGCAACAGCGGCGGCGGCGGCAGUAGCAGCAGCAGCGGCGGCAGCAACAGCAAUAAUCACCUGGUGUCCGGCCUUUCCUAGAAACUUCUUGCAUCACCACUUCUAAGAACCCC
rnacentral:lncRNA from 1 species